GAGUCUUGCUCUGUCACCCAGGCUGGAGUGUGGUGGCACGAUCUCUACUCACUGCAACUUCCACCUCCCCGGUUCAAGCGAUUCUUGUGCCUCAGCCACCUGAGUAGCUGGGAAUAUGGGCUCCUGCCACCACGUCCGGCUAAUUUUUUUUUUUGCUGGAGUGAGACUGAGUUUCAGCCUUGUUGCCCAGGCUGGAGUGCAAUAGUGCGAUCUUGGCUUACUACAACCUCUGCCUCCUGGGUUCAAGUGAUUCUCCUGCCUCAGCUUCCCAAGUAGCUGGUGUUAACAGGCACGCGCCACCAUGCUGAGCUAAUUUUUUUAUUUUUAGUAGAGACGGGGUUUCACCAUGUUGGCCAGGCUGGUCUCGAAUUUCUGACCUCAGGUGAUCCACCUGCCUUGGCCUCCCAAAGUGCUGGGAUUACAGGUGUGAGCUACCGUGCCCGGCCCUAGUGGAACAUUUUAAUUUGUUUCUGGUAGCAUAGCUCUCUUGGCAAUGGUCAUUAAGAGGGCCAAAUACCAUUAUUAUGAUCAAUUAAUUAAAUGUGGUUAAAAGUCAGAAGUUAGAAUAAGUAUGUGUUCAUGAAUGCGUAAAAUAUUACACACUGAGAGAGUAUUAAGCUUUUUAAUUUUCCCCCAGUAACAGUGAGCAGAUUGCUGAAAUCUCUGAAGCAGGAAUGUAACAAGAGUUUUGAGGGCUCUAAAUUCUCUGCUGUUUCACCCUAAGGAAUGGUUUGGCAGCAUCCUCUAUGCUAGGCACAGAACAACUCAGGAGGAAUUGUACAAAGACCUUAUGAACCACAUUUGAAGCUAGUCUGUUCAGUUCCCAUUCAAAAUAAAUACACAACUGUAAUUGAAUUUAUGGUGAUUUGGUCUGUAUGCUAAAAUUAAAAAUCGCUUUUGGGGGAUUUUCACAUAGGGGUAUAUUUAUAAUUUUCUGUGUGCUUUGCAGUUAAAAAUACAUAGUGAAAGUUUUAUUUUUGUAGUUCCUCUGUUGUACAGAGGAAAUUUAAAUUCUUAAAAUUAGAAUUUUCUAAUUUUAAGCACUUUCAUUUUUCCUUUAGAAGGUACUUUGGAGCACAUAAAAGAAAAUGCCAUUAGAAAUUGAACAUAGAAAAUGUUUAUUAAUCGAAGAAAAUGUUUUCUUAUUGUGCUAUAAUUUUUUUCAGUGGAACAUAUCAUUUACUUAUUCCAUUAUUCCACAUCUUGUUCCAGAAAGGGUUUGUAAUGACUUACAAAGAUACGUGCGACAUACUGUUGGUAACAUAACAGAUAAGUGGGUGAGGAAUGCAGGACUGAGGGAAAAUUAAGAUGGAAACAGGAAUGAGCUGUGUACACAGAGCACUUGGACUGAAGUCUUAAGUGCAGAGGGCCACAAAUUUGGCUUUGCUUUUGAGUAGCCAAUUAAGAGAGAAAUAUAAUCAGUUACAUGGGUCAGUGACCAUACGACAAAAGAGAUCAUUUCUGCUUUGGAUUCCCAAAGACUUUCCAGCAUGCGUUUCAAAGGGCUGGGUGUCGAGUUUUACUUUGUGUGUUAGUAAAACUCCUUAUUGGCUUUUUGUGUAAGACGGUGACAUAACAUCAAAACAUUCCGUAAAAGCAUUUCUCUUGCCUGCAAAAUAAUGUGAUCCGAGUACUUAGAUCUCUAGGCUGAUUUAAGGAUCUGUUUUAGAUUAUCUAGAUGAGUAGGUGGAUUGCACAUUCUUCACCUACCUUCCAUACUUUCUCAGUGGAUCUUUUGUAAUGAAUUUAUCAGCAGUGGGGUUUGAGUUUGUGCUUCCUCACAAGUUCCUUGAAUGCAUCUGUUUUCUGUUGUUGGUGAAUCACGGAACCAUAUGUUUUAACAGGCAUGGUUUAUCGUGGGGGUAUCACGAUGGAACAGUCUGACAAGGGCACAUAUUUGUUUGUUUGUUUUUUGAGGAAAAUCACUUUAUUCUAAUUAACUCAACAAAGAAUAAAAUCAUAACGGCUAGUUCAAGGGUGCCACACAAACAUCUACCCAGCCAUCUUAAUGAAAUUCUACACAGUAAGAAUUUCCUUUUCCAUUGCAGUCCUGAAGCAGGGACGCUAUGAGAGAGGAGAGGUUUACCUGAUGAUUACACUUUAUACCUUCACUAUCAAUUGUAUUUUUGUGCUAAAUCACUUGGUUAUGAGAGCUGAUUUUCCAUUUCUCCAAUUCGAACUUUCUGAUUAGACCAAUCUGUUUGCAAGUCUGCACUGUUUCAGCACCUUAUUGAAACCCUCACAGAGUUUUCUGUCACCCUGGUUCUGGGCACUCUCCAAAAACUGUUUUAUGUCAUAAGAGCAAGGCCGCUGCUGCUUUGCUGGCUGGGUUCCCUGAGGCUCUUGGUAGGUGAUAUCAGGCCUUCAGGCUCACCGUGACUUCCUCCACUGAAGCCCUGGUGGUGGCAUGACCCAGUGUAUGUCUGACAGGGGCACAUAUUUGAAUGAAAGCCACCUCACCUCCAUACAGAGAUGGGCUGAGGGAAUACCAAAUAUGAAGAUGGGAGCAGAUCCAGAUCUACUCGUCUCAGAUGAAAUGUCCAGUAAGUUGUAUUGCCUGUAUUUUGCUCCAGCUGAACAGUUGCACUUUCAAGUAAUAAUAGUUCAAAUUUAUCAAAUGCUAGCAGGAGCCAUGCAUUGUGUUAAUGGAGAGAGACCAUCCUUAUUCACUCUUACUCAGUAAACAGUGGGUGAAACUGCCCUUGCCUAAAUAUAGUUAUGUAAUGCUGUGUUUCCUUAAUUGUAUAUCCAUAAAGCUUUUGACAUUGUUUUCUAAAUGUGUUCCUCAAAAAGGAGUUGGGCUAGUGACCAAAGUUUUGAAUAGAAUAUUGUAAGAAAGCAAAUACAAAGUGUAAAAACAAAAAACAGAACUUUGCGAGGUGUUGUUCACCUGUAGUCCCAACUACUUGGGAGGCUGAGGCAGGAGGAUUGCCGGAGGUCAGGUAUUAGAGGCUGCAGUGCACUAUGAUUGUGUCUGUAAAUAGCCACUACACUCUAGCCUGGGCAACAAAGCAAGACUCCAUCUCUAAAAACAAACAAACAGGCCAGGCACGGUGGCUCACACCUGUAAUCUCAGCACUUUGGGAGGCCAAGGCGGGCGGAUCACGAGGUCAGGAGAUAGAGACCAUCCUGGCUAACACAGUUAAACCCCGUCUCUACUAAAAAUAUUUUAAAAAAUUAGCUGGGUGUGAUGGUGGGCGCCUGUAGUCCCAGCUACUCGGGAGGCUGAAGCAGGAGAAUCGCUGGAACCUGGGAGGCGGAGCUUGCAGUGAGCCGAGAUCGCACCACUGCACUCCAGCGUGGGCGACAGAGCGAGACUCCAUCUCAAAAACAAACAAACAAAACUACAGAAUAAUGAAAUAGAAUGUCCAAAAUUUAUCAUAACUGGUGUCUCACGAGAUAAUACGUUUGGGUCCUGUUUAGCAAGUUGGAUUAUAUUUUUAUUUGUGUAAAUUUAUUGGCCGUUGCAGUUGGGGUUGUAUUGAGAAUGUAGAUUUUGUCUGAUGAGAGUGUAGAUUUUAUUUGUAGUGAGUGCAUGUGGAUUUUUAUUUGUCUAGGGUUUUAAAAGUUGUAUAGUCAUGAAUGGACACUUUUUAAUACCAUCUAUGAGAAAUUCAAUGGCAAAGUGUUUUCAUACCCAUAUGCUAACUGCUGAUGCUUUUUAUAAAACAUUGUUAAGGUGUUACUUGCCCCAGGAAAUACAAUGUUUUAUGACAGAGACAGUACUGAAAUUCAGUAUUUAAGUUCUUUAAAUACCAGCUAUGUUGAGUAGAUAUUACUUUCUCCCAAGAGCCUAUUUUUGGUUUAUGACAUAUUAGGGAACAAAUUGCAGACACAGUUUUUUCAUUACCUGUAAGAGCACUUAUAGGAUGUAAGCUAUUUCCUUAAAGAGGAAUUUUUGCCUUUUUAAUACUUCUGUCUAGUAACUCAAUGCAUUAAAAGAUACAUAUUUUUCUAGUGCUAUAAAUAUAUUGGUACAUUUAAAUAUAAUAUACACACAUAUAAUGGUGCUUGAGAAAUAAGUUGAGAUUAUUUUAAGGUUAAGGUUCUUAGAUUCUGACAGAAAAACUGAUCAGCCAGUUGGACUACAGGUCCAACCAGUUCCAGCCCCAAACAUGAGCAAUAGUGAUUAUGGUAGUGAUUCUGCCAUUUACGUCAGUGAAAUGCAAAGAUUUCAGUUUCAUUCUUCAGCAGACGCUUUAUGUGUAUUUGGAGAAGAAUCUGAGUACUAGAAAAUACUCUUCUCCUGUGUUUGUUCUGCUGUUAAAUACACGGUUUGAAUUCUUAAUUUUAGAAAUACUUUUCAGAUCUAGAAUUUCAGUUUGACACAAAUUCCAAUUCACAGUUGAAAUUCUUAAUCUUUUUAUGUUUUCCCUCUUUUUUUCUUUUUUUUUUUUUUGAGACGGAGUCUCUCACAUUGUCGCCUAGGCGGGAGUGCAGUGGUGUGAUCUUGGCUCACUGCAACCUCCACCUCCCAGGUUCAUGCCAUUCUCCUGCCUCAGCCUCCUG
rnacentral:lncRNA from 1 species